rnacentral:rRNA from 1 species
UACGAAGGGGACUAGCGUUGUUCGGAAUUACUGGGCGUAAAGGGCGCGUAGGCGGUGUGUCAAGUCAGGCGUGAAAGCCCCGGGCUCAACCUGGGAACAGCGCUUGAGACUGGCACGCUCGAGUUCGGGAGAGGAUGGUGGAAUUCCCAGUGUAGAGGUGAAAUUCGUAGAUAUUGGGAAGAACACCGAUGGCGAAGGCAGCCAUCUGGACCGACACUGACGCUGAGGCGCGAAAGCCAGGGGAGCAAACGGG